UAGUCCUAGCAGUAAACGAUGGAUACUAGGUGUGGGGGGUGGUUGACCCCUCCUGUGCCGAAGCUAACGCAUUAAGUAUCCCGCCUGGGGAGUACGGUCGCAAGACUAAAACUCAAAGGAAUUGACGGGGACCCGCACAAGCAGCGGAGCGUGUGGUUUAAUUCGAUGCAACGCGAAGAACCUUACCUAGGCUUGACAUACACUCGCAACCUCUCGAAAGAGGGGGGCCUCCUUCGGGACGGGUGUACAGAUGCUGCAUGGCUGUCGUCAGCUCGUGUCGUGAGAUGUUGGGUUAAG
rnacentral:rRNA from 1 species